UAUAGCAUUAUCCAUUAGUUCAUUUUUCUUCUUUAAAGGAGACAAUCAGCAGAACAAACCUUCGUUCAUGCAAGACCACAUCGAGUUUGGGGAAAGUUAUCUUGGCAGAUGAAUUUUUGCCCAUCUGUGAUUUUGUGUGUGGGCUGUAGAUAUUGUCAUUGUCACAGGGGGAAAAAAGCCAAAGCAGAACAUUAAACUCUCUUUCAUGAGUGUGCUUUAUGGUCCAUUGAGACAGCUUGAUACUUCACUGCUGGGGAUGUCUGCUGCAGUCUUUGUUCACUCUGGUUGAACUGUAACCUGUUUAUAGAUGUUAUAUGUUUGGGACUGUCUCGUUAUAUUUAUUAAUCCAAGCUGCAAUUAAUAAAAAGGACAUUUCUGUGGCUACUUCCUGUUAAUGUUAUCUUAAUAAUCGAUUGCCUAAGAGUCUCAGUGUUUACAGAUCUAUAUGCUGAGGUUUGCUUGGGGGAGUUGUGUUUUAAAACUGAGAAUAUGGACAAGGUUCAUGAUUGAUACUUGCUUGAGAGUACUCUUUAGGUUAGUCUCCGCUCCAUAGCGUGCCAUUUUUCUGUUAGGGCCCUUUCACUAUAAAUCAUAUCAAUUCCGCUUAGACUAGGCUAUUAAAGACACUGCAAUCAGGUUUUUACUCACAUCUCAGGUAACAAUCCUGUCUUUUGCACAGAUGACUCAAACUCCAGACUUUCCAGCAGUCUGUUUAUAGUAACGUCAUUUUCCUGUAGUGUUAGCAAGAUAUUGCUAUGUGUCAUUGUUCUUUUCAAAGCAGACAUUCAUGUGAUCCUUUUCAUGUGGAUAUAUUCUCAAUAUUGAAGAUGGAGAAAAACUGGAUUUACUUUCACUGUGCCUUAGAUGCAUGGGAAUGUUAGCAGGAGAGAAGAAAUUGUAUUAAAGCCAUCAGAACUUACUAGAUGUUGGAGUAAAAUGACUUUGAUUAUGAAAUGAUUGGUGAUUCUUGUCAGAGGGGAAAUAAUGAAGAAGGUACUUUGCUGAAAUGCUCUGUGCCAUCUCACUGCUGGCUGCGUCAUUGCAAGUACCAGGACGUAUUACAUUUUUAUAUGUUUAUUAUCCAUGACAGUAACUGUUUCUUGCAUGACUUUCUAACUGGUAUGUUUUGUGAUGAUUCAUGCUGGGUUACAACAGCUUUACUGUUUUUCCACAUUCAAUGAGAUGUGAACUGACACAACUUGUUGUAAGAGAAGAUGGAAAUUUAAGAAUAAAAUGUUUUCCUGCGUAAGCCUUUCUGAUUUGAAGAAAAAAAGUGAGAUUCUUUUUCCUCUGGGAACUGAACUUUGUGUCUGAAGGAUACAUUUGAAGAUCAUGUUGUUUGAAUGUGUCUGAAGUACAGGAUGGGAAAAACAGAGUCUCAGACCAUCCCCCACAUAAGGAAAUCUGGGCCAAGAAAUGAAUCUAGUUCGGCUACCUACAUAAGGUUAAUCUAUAGAAAAAUCCCAUGUGGCUAUCAUAGAAGAGUUUCGGGUGCUGGAUGUAACCUCACUCAACAUAAAAGUACUACAGACUGCUCAUGAAAGUACAUUAUGAAAAGCAAAUUUCAUCAUGAUCAUUAGAGGUCAGUGGAACUUUGUGAGGUCUACGUAGUCAAGAUGGAGUUCCAAGAGAUGGCAGAAUCUAUCUACUAGUCUAUCACCGAGGAUAGCUGUGGACUUCUCUCCUGCUACUGUGAAGUUAAUCUGUUAUAUGAUCAAGGGGUGCUCAUCUGACUCUUUGGAAAACCUGCUAGUUUCCCUAAUAUAAGAGAAAGAGGGAUUAAUAAAUAAAUAAAUAAAUAAAUAAAUAAUUCAUUUAGCUGAACCAGAGAAUGAAUGAUCUCAGUUUUACUCCAGAAAAGGAAAUGCCUGAGUGUAUGUCAGAGUUAUUCUUCCUUAGUCCUUCCAGUAAUGUGGUGAGUUUGGUGCAGACAAAUAACAUUUUCUGAGCUACUUGAAUGAUUUUGACUGAUAAAUGGGUUCUGAACAUCUGUGAGAUAAGAUAUGUAAAAUGGCAUCAAUUUCUUACAAACCUUCUCUCAAAAUUCUAGUGUAAAUGUGUACCUGUCAGAUGUUUUUCUCAUCCAAAACUGUGUUUUCUGUGCUCUUUCUGCUUGUCAGUAUAUCUUUUCCAGAUAAACUCUUGCAUCUGUGCUUUUGUCUUGUUAUCUCCAAAAUGAUUUGUGAGUGAAACCCCCCAACUACCAUUACUUUUUAAGAUUCUUAUUCAAUGUAACAUAAGAGAUAGGAUUUUCCUUUCAGUUAGACCGUUCUUUUCAGCACUGUCAUGGGCAUCUUGAUGGGCAGCCAAAAGAGCUGAACCAUACCACUGAGGGACCGGAACAACAGAAGGCUUUUGACUUACUCGUUAAAGAGGUAAGCUGUUCAAAAAAAAAAACCCAAAAAACUACAACUAUCCUACUGGUUUUAUUUCAUCUGCUGUAGGCUAACAAUUUCUUAGCAGCCACAGAACCAACAUUCCUGAAAGCAUAUUAUGGCUCUUGUAAGCUAGUAGACAUGGGUUAUAAAAGGGCUAAUCUCCCUGAAGCCAAGUAUUACUACACAUAAUGAUUUUUUUAAUGUGGACUGCCUUCUGGUAGUGUAAUUAAAAUAAAAAACAAACCAGUCAAUUAUCAAUAAGGUCCACUGAUGCAAGGAUUUCCACUUAAUAACACACUCUUUUCUUGUUAUCCUGAAUAUUUUUUCCAUUCUUAUUUUCCUUCAUCCCAGUCGUUAAUUCUCUCUGCAUUUUUUGAGAGAGCACAAUUUCUCCCCUAUUCUUUUACUUUAUUUGACACACUUUAUUGCUAUUGCUUGUCCACCUCUUCUCAAGUAACAAUUGCUGCUCCUAACUUUCCUUUGUAUUCACUGAUAGUUGUUACAGCUUCUGGCAGGUAAUUACCACAGAUGUGUCACUGGACAAUUCUUAUCCUUUUCCAGCCUUUUUAAUAAAAGUUCUGCAUAAUAAAAUCUUUGGUUUUAGACUUUGAGUCCUGUAACAGACCCGCAGGGCUGUGAUUCACAGCCUACUUAUGAGAAAUUUCACCUAGGUCAUUCUUAACCUUCUCUGAAAGGCAGAGGGCUGAGAUGAGAGAAUACAAAUGUAUAACAUAAAAAAAACGAAGAUUCUCUUUAUUAAUUCAAUCUGGGAGAGUUAAGUGUUGUGUUUGCUAUACUGAAGAACACUGCACAUUACUGUGGGGUUGAUUGCACUUGACAAGGUGAAAGAAGAUGGAAAACUUCCUCCCCUCACUUGUCAUUGUAUUUGUCAUAAAUAAAUAACAAAGGAAAGAAUCACUUCUGUAUUUUCUGUUUCUGACAUUUCCCAAGUUUUCUAUGCAUAUGCAAUAAGCCAUCUGUACACUGACUGUGAAAGAAAAAGUUGGUAUAACCUUUAUGCUUGUACCAAGCCAGUGUUCUGUUUGUUUUGCUUUU